GCCGAUGUUAUAACGAUAGCUGCUGAUUUAGCCAUCCGGCACCAUCGGGGCCCACUAUCGGGGGGUCAAGGAAAACAGGCCCAAACCAAACUACAGACAACACGGAAACGGAAUGUGAAACCCGAUUACAUCAGAUGAAACCCGAUUACAUCAGAUGAAACACUAAGAUUUACAUUUGAUAAGACCCUGCAGAAUACGUUAGGAUGCAGAACCAAAGGCAGGUUGAGGUUUAAACACUUGACUGCAAGAAGAGAUGAAGAAACAGCGUAGGAUAUUUCACAAACACAUCAAAGUCAUCCGGGUUGGAUGACUUUCCAAGGUUGAAUAUAAAAUCAGGGGCCCCAAGAGCAGUAACCUCAUCAACGAUUCCAAUUGCUGCAGAAGAACAGAACCAGUGAAGAUCAACCUUCUAGACAUGGCUCAAGUGAACUUUAAACUGGUGGUGACUGCUGAUGGCAAGAGUAUUGAAUACAAACCUACUACGGACUGCAACCAGAUACUCCUGUGGGCAUUGACAGAUUUGAAAGAUUCCGUCUCAAACUUCAGUUUCGAAUGUGGAAGCAAAUUUGGAAUGCCACCCUAUUUGACCCGGGUGACUUUUGGUAAUAAUAUUAUUACCAAAACUGAGAACAGCUUCUGGCAAGUUCUGGUCAAAAACCACAACAUGAUCACACCUGUUGGACUCUGCAACUACCGUGUCCAGGACAGUGACGUGAUCAUCCUGCGCCACAUGACCGUGUGAUCCUGACUGUGGCGCCAUCUUCCUUCAGGGUCCUGAAUAACACUGAGUGCUGCUCGACACUCAUUAAACAUGAUGAUCAUCUAAUCUGAAGAUAUCAAAUGUAAAAAUGUGUUUAAUUCAACAAAUGUAGAAAUGAUUUGGAAGUGAAUCAUAUAAAUUGGAAUAAAGGAUUGAAAUUA